ACGAACGCUGGCGGCACGCUUAACACAUGCAAGUCGAACGAGAGAAGAGAAGCUUGCUUUUCUGAUCUAGUGGCGGACGGGUGAGUAACACGUGAGCAAUCUGCCUUUCAGAGGGGGAUACCGAUUGGAAACGAUCGUUAAUACCGCAUAAUAUAAUUGAACCGCAUGAUUUGAUUAUCAAAGAUUUAUCGCUGAAAGAUGAGCUCGCGUCUGAUUAGCUAGUUGGUAAGGUAACGGCUUACCAAGGCGACGAUCAGUAGCCGGACUGAGAGGUUGAUCGGCCACAUUGGGACUGAGACACGGCCCAGACUCCUACGGGAGGCAGCAGUGGGGAAUAUUGCACAAUGGAGGAAACUCUGAUGCAGCGAUGCCGCGUGAGGGAAGAAGGUUUUAGGAUUGUAAACCUCUGUCUUCAGGGACGAAAAAUGACGGUACCUGAGGAGGAAGCUCCGGCUAACUACGUGCCAGCAGCCGCGGUAAUACGUAGGGAGCGAGCGUUGUCCGGAAUUACUGGGUGUAAAGGGAGCGUAGGCGGGAUCGCAAGUCAGAUGUGAAAACUAUGGGCUUAACCCAUAAACUGCAUUUGAAACUGUGGUUCUUGAGUGAAGUAGAGGUAAGCGAAAUUCCUAGUGUAGCGGUGAAAUGCGUAGAUAUUAGGAGGAACAUCAGUGGCGAAGGCGGCUUACUGGGCUUUAACUGACGCUGAGGCUCGAAAGCGUGGGGAGCAAACAGGAUUAGAUACCCUGGUAGUCCACGCCGUAAACGAUGAUUACUAGGUGUGGGGGGACUGACCCCUUCCGUGCCGCAGCAAACGCAAUAAGUAAUCCACCUGGGGAGUACGACCGCAAGGUUGAAACUCAAAGGAAUUGACGGGGGCCCGCACAAGCAGUGGAGUAUGUGGAUUAAUUCGAAGCAACGCGAAGAACCUUACCAGGUCUUGACAUCGUAUGCAUAGCUCAGAGAUGAGUGAAAUCUCUUCGGAGACAUAUAGACAGGUGGUGCAUGGUUGUCGUCAGCUCGUGUCGUGAGAUGUUGGGUUAAGUCCCGCAACGAGCGCAACCCUUACUGUUAGUUGCUACGCAAGAGCACUCUAGCAGGACUGCCGUUGACAAAACGGAGGGAGGUGGGGAUGACGUCAAAUCAUCAUGCCCCUUAUGACCUGGGCCUCACACGUACUACAAUGGCUGUCAACAGAGGGAAGCAAAGCCGCGAGGUGGAGCAAACCCCUAAAAGCAGUCUUAGUUCGGAUUGUAGGCUGCAACCCGCCUACAUGAAGUCGGAAUUGCUAGUAAUCGCAGAUCAGCAUGCUGCGGUGAAUACGUUCCCGGGCCUUGUACACACCGCCCGUCACGCCAUGGGAGUCGGUAACACCCGAAGCCUGUAGUCUAACCGCAAGGAGGACGCAGUCGAAGGUGGGAUUGAUGACUGGGGUG
rnacentral:rRNA from 1 species